AUGGACGCCUCCGACUCCGGCGGGGGCGGCGCGGCGGCCGAUGCGGGGGAGCCCGUCUGGGACUGGGACAACCUCCUCGACUUCACCAUCCCGGAAGACGAUUCCCUGCUCCUCCCGUGGGAUGACCCCCUCGGGAUCGAGGGCGAUCCCACCACCGAGGGGGCCCUGCUCCCCGCCCCGCCUCCGCCGCAGCCAGUGGAGGCGGAGCCGGCGCCACCGCCACCGCCACCGUCUCCGCCUGUUGAGGCCGGGGGAAGCAGACGCGGCGUCAGAAAACGCGACCCGCGGCUGGUGUGCCCGAACUACCUCGCGGGGAUUGUGCCCUGCGCGUGCCCCGAGUUGGAUGAGAUGGCGGCCGCCGCGGAGGUCGAGGAGGUUGCCGCGGAGGUGCUUGCCGGCCCGAGGAAGAAGCCCAGGGCUGGCAGCCGGGGUAGCAGCGGGGCUGUAGUCAAAAUUGGUGGUGCUGGUGGUGGCAGUGGAGUGGCUGGCCGUGGGGGAGCAGCAGAAAUGAGGUGCCAAGUGCCGGGUUGUGAGGCGGAUAUACGGGAGCUGAAAGGGUACCACAAGCGGCACCGGGUGUGUCUGCGUUGCGCGCACGCUUCUGCCGUCAUGAUCGACGGCGCCCAGAAGCGCUACUGCCAGCAGUGCGGCAAAUUCCAUAUAUUAUUAGAUUUUGAUGAAGACAAAAGGAGUUGUAGAAGAAAGCUGGAGAGGCACAACAAAAGAAGACGAAGGAAACCUGAUUCAAAAGGCACAUUGGAGAAAGAGAUAGAUGAACAAUUGGAUUUGUCAGCUGAUGGUAGCGGCAGCGGUGAAAUAAGAGAAGAGAAUAUAGAUGGCGCUAGCUGUGACAUGCUUGAGACUGUUCUUAGCAACAAAGUUUUAGACAGAGAAACACCGGUGGGAUCUGAAGAUGCCCUUAGUUCUCCAACUUGUACACAACUCAGCUUGCAAAAUGACCGAAGUAAAAGCAUAGUGACUUUUGCAGCUUCUGCUGAAGCCUGCCUUGGUGCAAAACAGGAAAAUGCUAAACUUACGACUUCUCCGGUGCAUGAUAGCAGGAGUGCUUAUUCAUCCUCAUGCCCCACAGGACGCAUUUCGUUCAAGUUGUACGACUGGAAUCCCGCAGAGUUUCCUCGGCGUCUACGUAACCAAAUAUUUGAGUGGUUGUCUAGCAUGCCUGUUGAAUUGGAGGGCUACAUUCGUCCUGGUUGUACAAUUUUAACUGUAUUUAUUGCAAUGCCACAACAUAUGUGGGACAAGUUAUCAGAAGAUACAGCAAAUCUUGUCAGAAACUUGGUAAAUGCUCCGAGCAGUCUUCUAUUGGGUAAAGGGGCCUUUUUUGUUCAUGUCAAUAACACAAUAUUUCAAGUAUUGAAAGAUGGAGCAACAUUGAUGAGUACCAGAUUAGAGGUACAAGCCCCCAGGAUCCAUUGUGUUCAUCCAACAUGGUUUGAAGCAGGAAAGCCUAUUGAACUACUCCUUUGUGGAAGUUCUCUUGAUCAGCCUAAAUUCAGAUCACUUCUAUCGUUUGAUGGAGAGUACUUGAAGCAUGAUUGUUGCCGUCUAACGUCUCGUGAAAUCUUUGGUUGCGUGAAAAAUGGUGCUCCUACAUUUGAUUCUCACCACGAAGUUUUCCGGAUAAACAUCACUCAAACAAAGCCGGAUACUCAUGGACCUGGUUUUGUGGAAGUGGAAAAUGUGUUUGGGCUAUCAAAUUUUGUCCCUAUCCUUUUCGGUAGCAAACAGUUGUGUUUUGAACUAGAGAGGAUACAAGAUGUUCUUUGUGGUUCUUCCAAGUACAAGAGUACAAAUGGAGAGUUCCCUGGUAUUACUUCUGAUCGUUGCGAGCAUUGGAAGCUUCAACAAACUGCAAUGUCAGGAUUCCUGAUAGAGAUUGGGUGGUUAAUAAAGAAGCCUUCUCCAGAUGAAUUUAAAAAUUUACUGAGUAAAACAAAUAUUAAGAGAUGGAUAUGUUUGUUGGAGUUCUUGAUACAAAACAAUUUUAUCAAUGUUCUUGAAAUGAUUGUGAAGUCAUCGGACAACAUCAUAGGCUCUGAGAUUCUUUCUAACCUGGAAAGUGGGCGGUUGGAAGAUCAUGUCACAGCAUUUCUUGGAUAUGUAAGACAUGCUCGAACCAUUGUUGAUCAGAGAGCUAAACACAAUGAAGAAACACAGCUUCAAACAAGGUGGUGUGGUGAUAGCGUUUCAGACCAGCCAAGCUUGGGCACUUCUGUGCCACUUGGUAAAGAAAAUGUUGCUGCCAGUGAUGAUUUCUGUUUGCCCUCAACCAAUGCCGAGUGUGAAGCGGAAGAAAGUGUACCGCUUGUGACUAAUGAAGCUGUGUCACACAGGCAGUGCCGCGCUCCUGAGAUGAAUGCUAGAUGGCUUAAUCCCGCCUUGGUUGCUCCUUUUCCAAGUGGUAUGAUGAGAACGCGACUCGUCGCGACUGUGGCAGUGGCUGCUAUAUUGUGUUUCACGGCCUGUGUUGCCUUGUUCCACCCAGGUAGAGUAGGGGUGCUUGCAGCUCCAGUAAAGAGGUACUUGUUUAGCGACUGCCCACCAUGGCAUCAUAGUGGAUGUUAG
rnacentral:rRNA from 1 species